rnacentral:piRNA from 1 species
UGGAUUAAGGGCGGUACAAGAUGUGCUUU